AUUUCUCUUCCCUUCUAUUGAUCCUUCUCUUUCCCUCAACUCUAAAAACCGAGUGAAUCAGUAAGAGUGAAGGAAGGCUAAUUAAUAAAACCGUUUGUUGAUUUAGAUCUUUAGAUCGACGUAGCGUGGAGCUUCAAGAAUAAGGAUGCAAAUGGGUAAUCUUGCCGUGGAGUAAGCGAUUAAGAGACUUUUGGGUACAGCUACGAAACUCUUGUUGGAAAAUUGACACUAAAAUAGGGUGAAGAAAAGAAUGUUGUCUCUGAGUUCAAGGCUCUAAUAGUAGAUUUUUUCCGACAAUUAUUCGGCCCUUCCCAAUUGAAUUGGCGAGUACAAAUAGGUCAAUGAAUAUUGCCGUCAGGAUACUUGAAGUCCUACAACAAUGUUGGAUUCAAAGCUUGUACAACCUUGACCCAACCAAGAACACACAGGUUUUGAUUCUGAUGAUGCUUAUUAGAGAGAAAACAUAGAGUUUUUUGAUGUGUUUUGAAUGGAAAUCAAAGAUGCAAUUUAUAGAGAGUUUAACAUCUGUUGAACAUGACUCUUCAUCUCCAACAAGCAUCCUUUCAGUGCGAAUAGACAUCUCUUCCAACAAUGAUGUCUGUUUGGAAAAACGAUGUUUCUGUUCAAUUUUUCUAACUGUCAUUAGAAACCCUAAAACAAGUCGAUCACCGAAAACUCUGUAUAACGCCUACAAAUAAAGGGUUUGUUGAAAAUAUCCAACAACUAUUUACUUCUUCCUAUUAUUUUUAUGUUAAAGAAGGGUCUCUAAAGUUCCCAACGAGACCAAAUUUACGUCAUUCCAUCUCGGAAUGAAUUUUAAAAGAAUUUCGGAAAAUGGGUAUGCGAACUGAAAUU